rnacentral:rRNA from 1 species
CUAUAACUGCAGUCGAGCGGACAGAAGGGAGCUUGCUCCCGGAUGUUAGCGGCGGACGGGUGAGUAACACGUGGGUAACCUGCCUGUAAGACUGGGAUAACUCCGGGAAACCGGAGCUAAUACCGGAUAGUUCCUUGAACCGCAUGGUUCAAGGAUGAAAGACGGUUUCGGCUGUCACUUACAGAUGGACCCGCGGCGCAUUAGCUAGUUGGUGGGGUAAUGGCUCACCAAGGCGACGAUGCGUAGCCGACCUGAGAGGGUGAUCGGCCACACUGGGACUGAGACACGGCCCAGACUCCUACGGGAGGCAGCAGUAGGGAAUCUUCCGCAAUGGACGAAAGUCUGACGGAGCAACGCCGCGUGAGUGAUGAAGGUUUUCGGAUCGUAAAGCUCUGUUGUUAGGGAAGAACAAGUGCGAGAGUAACUGCUCGCACCUUGACGGUACCUAACCAGAAAGCCACGGCUAACUACGUGCCAGCAGCCGCGGUAAUACGUAGGUGGCAAGCGUUGUCCGGAAUUAUUGGGCGUAAAGGGCUCGCAGGCGGUUUCUUAAGUCUGAUGUGAAAGCCCCCGGCUCAACCGGGGAGGGUCAUUGGAAACUGGGAAACUUGAGUGCAGAAGAGGAGAGUGGAAUUCCACGUGUAGCGGUGAAAUGCGUAGAGAUGUGGAGGAACACCAGUGGCGAAGGCGACUCUCUGGUCUGUAACUGACGCUGAGGAGCGAAAGCGUGGGGAGCGAACAGGAUUAGAUACCCUGGUAGUCCACGCCGUAAACGAUGAGUGCUAAGUGUUAGGGGGUUUCCGCCCCUUAGUGCUGCAGCUAACGCAUUAAGCACUCCGCCUGGGGAGUACGGUCGCAAGACUGAAACUCAAAGGAAUUGACGGGGGCCCGCACAAGCGGUGGAGCAUGUGGUUUAAUUCGAAGCAACGCGAAGAACCUUACCAGGUCUUGACAUCCUCUGACAACCCUAGAGAUAGGGCUUUCCCUUCGGGGACAAAGUGACAGGGGGUGCAUGGUUGUCGUCAGCUCGUGUCGUGAAAUGUUGGGGUAAGUCCCGCA